GUACGUGAAACCGUUCAGGGGUAAACGGGAGAAAUCCUGAAUUCGAAUGGGGUGGCGGAUUCAAACCUUUCCGAUCGUGAAAUCAGGCUGCCUUCCCCCAGAUGGUGCCGGUUGCCCGCUGCGAUUAACUUCGUUUGCGGUGUCAUUCCCGGCGAUCACUCGGAGGGUUGGUGGUUCCCUGGCGACGGAGGAGUGCACUUCCCCCCUAGUAGAAACGUCGCGACCCGUUGGGUGCCGGUCUAAGGCCCGGGAUGGCAGACCAUGUGUCCUGAGGGGGCUCCCACAGGCGCGUGGACUCCUGGUGACCCGGCUGGCUGCCCGACGGUAUGAUCAGAGGAGUCGAUCCGCUAAAUGGGAAUCACUGUGGUUGUGAAGCGUCCGGCCUGGUGCCGAUGCGUGCGGGGAUUGAGGUGUAAACCGGGGGUGACCGUGCGAAGCAUGGCCCCGGCCCUGCUGCGUACUCGGUGCUGGUGUCCUCGGACUGGAUCUGUUCUCCCGUCUGCGACGCACACCUUCGGAUGG
rnacentral:rRNA from 1 species